rnacentral:rRNA from 1 species
GACGAACUGUCCUAACGUUGUUCGGAAUCACUGGGCUUAAAGGGCGCGUAGGCGGUCCGACAAGUCAGGGGUGAAAUCCUGGAGCUCAACUCCAGAACUGCCUUCGAUACUGGCGAUCUCGAGUCCGGGAGAGGUGAGUGGAACUGCGAGUGUAGAGGUGAAAUUCGUAGAUAUUCGCAAGAACACCAGUGGCGAAGGCGGCUCACUGGCCCGGUACUGACGCUGAGGUGCGAAAGCGUGGGGAGCAAACAGG